GUGAGGUUUCAUAUAGCCGACUCCAACUUGUUUGGGUUUGAGGUGUAGUUGUUGCGUUGGCUCGAAAAUGUCCUGUUCAUUUUGCAUUAUUUGAUAAUAUACUUAAUUGGUUGGUUCUAAAAAGUGAGAAACCAGAAAAUGGGAGGUUCUACGUUAUCCAUUAAUUACGGGUGCGGGUGACUCUCUACCUAUUGCAUAGGUCCGCUUCCGGUACAAAUUGUGUAAAAUUCAGGGCGACUCGAAGAAAUGGUCUGUGGAAUGGAAUUGCUGCUUUGCUUAGUAAGAGUCUUUGUGGACAUGAUCAUUGCGAGUUUUGGCUCAACUUGGAUAUCUUCCCCAGAGACAGCUUUCUCAUCUCAGCUUAUACAGGUUUGGUUUGGACAAAAGAAUGGUUCCUAGAAUCAAAAUUUAUUCAGAACUUUGAGCUGGAUUUAUGAGGAUAAAAUUCCUAUGAAUUCUAUACAAAAAAUGUAGGAUAACACCAUAACUCGAGAGCAUCUUUUAAACAAGGUGUAUUUAUUUCCCCAUUCCGUAUUGUUGCAUUUGUUCCUUCUUUUCCCAAACUAUCUGAUUAGUUGUAGCGUUGUCAAAGGUGCGUUUAAAACACGCUUUUGUGGGCGUAUCAGUGUCGUAUCAAGGUUCUAAGGUAUCCUUUUCCUUGCCAAUGAGUGUAAUCGUGAAAAGAUGACACUAAACAAUUGAUAUUUCACUUUAUCGUAAUUUUUUCAAUUUCUUUGUUCAUAUAUUGGUUUUGGACUGCAUAUACAUAUUUUUAGUUUUUCUCAA